AGACCGCCAGCUAAGGUCCCAAAGUCAUGGUUAAGUGGGAAACGAUGUGGGAAGGCCCAGACAGCCAGGAUGUUGGCUUAGAAGCAGCCAUCAUUUAAAGAAAGCGUAAUAGCUCACUGGUCGAGUCGGCCUGCGCGGAAGAUGUAACGGGGCUAAACCAUGCACCGAAGCUGCGGCAGCGACACUGUGUGUUGUUGGGUAGGGGAGCGUUCUGUAAGCCUGUGAAGGUGUGUCGUGAGGCAUGCUGGAGGUAUCAGAAGUGCGAAUGCUGACAUAAGUAACGAUAAAGCGGGUGAAAAGCCCGCUCGCCGGAAGACCAAGGGUUCCUGUCCAACGUUAAUCGGGGCAGGGUGAGUCGACCCCUAAGGCGAGGCCGAAAGGCGUAGUCGAUGGGAAACGGGUUAAUAUUCCCGUACUUGGUGUUACUGCGAAGGGGGGACGGAGAAGGCUAUGUUGGCCGGGCGACGGUUGUCCCGGUUUAAGCGUGUAGGUGUGUGUUCCAGGUAAAUCCGGUUCACUUUAACACUGAGGCGUGACGACGAGGCACUACGGUGCUGAAGCAACAAAUGCCCUGCUUCCAGGAAAAGCCUCUAAGCAUCAGGUAACAUCAAAUCGUACCCCAAACCGACACAGGUGGUCAGGUAGAGAAUACCAAGGCGCUUGAGAGAACUCGGGUGAAGGAACUAGGCAAAAUGGUGCCGUAACUUCGGGAGAAGGCACGCUGACACGUAGGUGAAGUGAUUUACUCAUGGAGCUGAAGUCAGUCGAAGA
rnacentral:rRNA from 1 species